AGCGAACGUUUGCGGCGGGCUUAACACAUGCAAGUCGAACGGGCUGGUUCCUUCGGGGGCAGUCAGUGGCGCACGGGUGCGUAACACGUAGGUAAUCAACCCUCUGGUUGGGGAUAACACUUCGAAAGGAGUGCUAAUACUCGGUAUGGCGCAGCGGUCUUCGGAUCGCGGCGAGAAAGACCCGCAAGGGUUUGCCAGAGGACGAGCCUGCGGCCCAUCAGCUAGUUGGCGAGUAACGGCUCACCAAGGCGAAGACGGGUAGCUGGCUGAGAGGAUGAUCAGCCACACUGGAACUGAGACACGGUCCAGACUCC
rnacentral:rRNA from 1 species